rnacentral:lncRNA from 1 species
GGUCAUGGAGGGAACUUCAGUGGUCGUGGUGGCUUUGGUGGCAGCCAUGGUGGUGUUGGAUAUGGUGGCAGCGGGGAUGGCUACAAUGGAUUUGGUAAUGAUGGAAGCAAUUUUGGAGGUGGUGGAAGCUACAAUGAUUUUGGCAGUUACAACAAUCAGUCAUCAAAUGUUGGACCCAUGAAGAGGGGAAAUUUUGGAGACAGACGCUCUGGAUCUUCUGGUGGUGGGGACCAAUACUUUGCCAAACCACGAAACCAAGGUGACCAUGGCGCUUCCAACAGCAGCAGUAGCUAUGGCAAUGGCAGAAGGUUUUAAUCCUGCCAGGAAACAAAGCCUAGCAGCAGAGAAGAGC